AAGUCUUGAAGUCCUUCUUCCUGAAAAUCAGCAGGCUCAAACACCUCCAGCUCCAGCUUACGAAGGGGAGCAUUUAGAGAGUGACCUUGAGCCUGUUAGUCAGGAGAGACAGAGGAGGAGAAAGAGUAGCUUUGAGAAGCUUCCCUCUCUUUAUUUGUUUAACUGUAGAGGAAGCUCAGGUCAUGGUCAGAAAGUGGAGGUCCAGAUUACUGCAUCCAUCAGUGAGAGACAGGCUAAGGGUAGAUCAAACAACCAUUUGACAUUGUGCACUAAUUUUACUAGAGCUUUGUGCAUCAUGAACUCUACAUCAUUUUCAUCACAAUAUAGGAAAAAUCCAUAAUAUCACACACUUUAUCAAAAUUCCACUGAAGUUUGAUCAAAACCACAAUCAGAUUUUUAUUCCAGGAUGAAUGUUAUGGUUAAACACAGAUGAAAUCAAGCAGACAUCUUUUAUCAUUGGCCAAAAAAGAAAAACAUCCAGCACUAAUGCGGCUGAUAACCAUCUGCCCAUUGGUGCAUCUGAAGAACAUGAGAUGCCAAUGAGAAAGAAAAGGAGGACAGAGAGUUUUGAGAAGCUGUUGUCUCUCAAAUCCAUUAAAUGGAGCUGCGGUUCAGACCAGGCGAUGAUAUAUGAGAGACAAGUUGAUGAUCAUAUUUCUCUGCAGUCCAUUGCCUGGUCUGCAGAGGAUUCUCUUUCCAGUGAUCGUGAAGACCUUCCUCCUGUAGAUCAGCAGGUUCAAAGCCCUCCAGCUCCAGUACACCACAGUCCAGUCAGUCCAGCCUCAGCUCACAACAACAGAGUGGACUUGACAACUGAGGGU